GAUGAACGCUAGCGGCAGGCUUAAUACAUGCAAGUCGAGGGACAGCACAGGUAGCAAUACUGGGUGGUAACCGGCAAACGGGUGCGGAACACGUACACAACCUUCCUUUAAGUGGGGGAUAGCCCAGAGAAAUUUGGAUUAAUACCCCGUAAUAUAGUUGAAUGGCAUCAUUUGAUUAUUAUAGCUACGGCGCUUAAUGAUGGGUGUGCGGCUGAUUAGAUAGUUGGCGGGGUAACGGCCCACCAAGUCUACGAUCAGUAGCUGAUGUGAGAGCAUGAGCAGCCACACGGGCACUGAGACACGUGCCCGACUCCUACGGGAUGCAGCAGUAAGGAAUAUUGGUCAAUGGACGCAAGUCUGAACCAGCCAUGCCGCGUGAAGGAUUAAGGUCCUCUGGAUUGUAAACUUCUUUUAUUUGGAACGAAAAAGGGCCUUUCUAGGUCAACUGACGGUACCAGAUGAAUAAGCACCGGCUAACUCCGUGCCAGCCGCCGCGGUAAUAC
rnacentral:rRNA from 1 species